AGCUUGCUCCUGCAGGUUAGCGGCGGACGGGUGAGUAACACGUGGGCAACCUACCUAUAAGACUGGGAUAACUUCGGGAAACCGGAGCUAAUACCGGAUGACAUAAAGGAACUCCUGUUCCUUUAUUGAAAGAUGGCUUUUAGCUAUCACUUACAGAUGGGCCCGCGGCGCAUUAGCUAGUUGGUGAGGUAACGGCUCACCAAGGCGACGAUGCGUAGCCRACCUGAGAGGGUGAUCGGCCACACUGGGACUGAGACACGGCCCAGACUCCUACGGGAGGCAGCAGUAGGGAAUCUUCCGCAAUGGACGAAAGUCUGACGGAGCAACGCCGCGUGAACGAUGAAGGCCUUCGGGUCGUAAAGUUCUGUUGUUAGGGAAGAACAAGUGCUAGUUAAAUAAGCUGGCACCUUGACGGUACCUAACCAGAAAGCCACGGCUAACUACGUGCCAGCAGCCGCGGUAAUACGUAGGUGGCAAGCGUUGUCCGGAAUUAUUGGGCGUAAAGCGCGCGCAGGCGGUUUCUUAAGUCUGAUGUGAAAGCCCCCGGCUCAACCGGGGAGGGUCAUUGGAAACUGGGAAACUUGAGUGCAGAAGAGGAAAGUGGAAUUCCAAGUGUAGCGGUGAAAUGCGUAGAGAUUUGGAGGAACACCAGUGGCGAAGGCGACUUUCUGGUCUGUAACUGACGCUGAGGCGCGAAAGCGUGGGGAGCAAACAGGAUUAGAUACCCUGGUAGUCCACGCUGUAAACGAUGAGUGCUAAGUGUUAGAGGGUUUCCGCCCUUUAGUGCUGAAGUUAACGCAUUAAGCACUCCGCCUGGGGAGUACGGUCGCAAGACUGAAACUCAAAGGAAUUGACGGGGGCCCGCACAAGUGGUGGAGCAUGUGGUUAAUUCGAAGCAACGCGAAAACCUUACCAGGCUUGACAUCCUCUGACACCCUAGAGAUAGGCGUCCCUUCGGGACAGA
rnacentral:rRNA from 2 species